rnacentral:rRNA from 1 species
ACCUAGGCUUGACAUGCACGGAAAUCUCCCAGAGAUGGGGGGUCCGUAAGGGCCGUGCACAGGUGGUGCAUGGUUGUCGUCAGCUCGUGUCGUGAGAUGUUGGGUUAAGUCCCGCAACGAGCGCAACCCUCGUUCCAUGUUGCCAGCACGUGAUGGUGGGGACUCAUGGGAGACUGCCGGGGUCAACUCGGAGGAAGGUGGGGAUGAC